UAGACUUUGUUUAAUCAUAUUCUUCUUGUGUC
rnacentral:piRNA from 1 species